rnacentral:rRNA from 1 species
UACGUAGGGUGCGAGCGUUAAUCGGAAUUACUGGGUGUAAAGCGUGCGCAGGCGGUUUUGUAAGCCAGAUGUGAAAUCCCCGGGCUCAACCUGGGAAUGGCAUUUGGGACUGCAAGGCUGGAGUUUGGCAGAGGAGACUGGAAUUCCCGGUGUAGCAGUGAAAUGCGUAGAUAUCGGGAGGAAUACCGAUGGCGAAGGCAGGUCUCUGGGCUAUAACUGACGCUCAUGCACGAAAGCGUGGGGAGCAAACAGG